CCCCCAGGAACAGGACCGGAAGCGAAAGCCCCCCCAGGAACACUGCGGCCAUUUCUACAAGCCGCUUCAGUGCUGUCAUCACGUUUACCCUGCCGUACGAGAGAGGAGAGACUUGGUUUAGUCUUGGUCCCUCCCUGUAACCUCUCACUCUGUGACUGGUAAAGCUGGUAGUGGCUGAGUCAGCACUUUCUCCUCCUGGUUCCUUCUGGGAUCUGCUCACCUAGAAGGGAACGGAAUCCGGGUUGUCAAGUUUGCACAGUAAAUGCUCCUUGCUGCUGAACCAGCCCUCGUUUCUCCUUCUCAUUCCCUCCGUCAUGGGAAGGAUGCUACCACCCACAGUUACUGCGGAUUGUCUCACCUCUGUUAACCCGAUGUAGACACUCCAUCUCAGGAGAAAGGCAACCGCUAAUGAUGACGACGUCGCCGAAGAAGGGGCACGAAGCUGCUAGACAUUAAUUAACUCGGGAGCCCACGCCAAUCCUGAGCUGAUAACAACCUGGCUCGUCUUAGAGUUGAGGAGAAAUAAACAUGCCUUGGAACCUCAUUUAGGAGACAAUUAUUU